rnacentral:lncRNA from 1 species
GCUUUCUAUUUUCCAAAUAGAAUCAAGUGUAGAUUCAUCCUUAUCUCUUAUUUUGAUAUAAGUUGUUGUUUGCCACAAUGCCGGAUGAUGGUAUCCAUGAUAUUCCUGGUCUUUCAGUAUGUAUUCUGUCUAUCUUUUAAUGGUAGCCAUCACAUAUUGCACUUGUCUUUUCUCUGUUUGUUUCAACAGCAUUUAUUUCCACGAUUAACCAAAAAUAUAAAUGCAAACAAAUAAAUUACUGUUCAUUAUUCUAGUAUGGUUAGUUGUUAAUUUCCUUAUCAUCUG